rnacentral:lncRNA from 1 species
GCGGCGUAAAUGGGGAUAAAACUAAACAGCGAAAUCAAAGGGAAUUAUUUGUUGGGGGGAUUCGAUAUGAAUACACAAUUUCCUCCAUAUUCGUACAAUUUUCACCACUCGAACACCUUGUAAAGGCCUUGUUCUUGGAACUUUAUAAAGAUAGACUCUUUUUCUUUUUCAAAUAAAUCUCGGAAUGAGCUGAGAGGACAUGUCACCAUAGCCAGAUCGGGAAUUAUUAAUGCUCAGAGAAAAUCCGUUGAUAUGACCGAAUCCGAUAGAUCAGUUCGGAUGAUCUAUUCGAUAAGAACACGAUAAAAUGGGAUUAUCCAUGUAAAUUAAUAAUAGUAAAUGAAAUCAACAUUUCUACAACAAAGGGGUGGGUUCUAUAAUCUAAACCAGUUACAAUUCCCUGAAGAGACUCAUCGCUCUCUUCGCUGUGAAACCCUGUUUCUGAGGUCGAACCAGGCGGGACAGCAAGAUCGGAGCAACCACGCGCCUCCCAUAGCUCUCCACGUGACGGGGAAAAGGAAGAUGCUAGAUGGGGAAGGAAACCUUCUCGAAGAGCCCUCGGCUUUCCAUCAUGUUCCUAACCACUUUGCUUGACCAGCGAGGUAAACAAGAGGAGACUAUGAGAUGAGUGGUAGUGGGUGGGGGGGAGCCAGAGAUCAACAAGGCUGAGUUGGGAACGUAAGGAAUCGAAUCCGGACGCCAACUCACGGUGGGCCCACCCGUCCUUCUGUGGGGUCAGCCUCUCGUACGUGCGCACGUGCGAGGUCCUCCGAGGAGAGAGACUCUGAUAUCGGAGAAGUAUGGACACAGGGAAGAGAGGCCCCCCCGCUCAGACGAAGAGGAAGAAUGUGAUCAAGGCGUGAAGGAAUCAUCUGCAUUCAGAUCAUGAUUUCAGAUUUCACACCGAGGAGAGCGGAUGACUGUGAGGGAAUCGGAACCGUUUCCAAGCUUAACUCAUGUAAUAGUAAACAUACAAUCGGCAUUCAACAGCAGUGAUCAAACAAAUAGACAUUCUACUGUGUGUGAGGAGGAAAGGGGGUGGAUGAUUUGGGGAGAGGGGGGGCGAUUAUUGUCAUGAGGAUAUAGAAGACGGCACGGAGAGGGGAUCAAGUGUCGUGUCGGAAUGGAUUUUGGCGGAGUAGAUGGGAGAGAAGGGGAUCAUCUAGGAGCGGCACCGGGUAAUGGCGCUGCAGCCGCGCCUGUAGGGGUUGGCCUGGGCCCCUGGGCGGCAGUUGUAGUAGGAGGCGCCGCGGCGGGAGCAAGGGACCGAGCCUCGUCGGAGAGCGGCGUAGCUGAUGUACCCAGAAGCGGCCAGGAUGCGGCGAUUGCUCUCUGAGUCGAGGGAGAACUCGUCCUCGUCCUCGGCCAGGCACUCCGCCACCGUUCCCGUGCACCUCGACCUCGCGGAGACCCACCCCGCCAGCUGCCCCUCCAGACCGAGACCGAGCUGAUACUUCCCCCCAGCGCAGGCCACGGACAUUGCCGCUAGCAGGACCGAGGCCGCCAGCACCACCCGCAGGAGAAAGCCAACGCCGCUUCCCAUUUCUCGUUGCCGCUGCUUCUCCACGGCCGCUGCUCCCCUCCCGAUCCUUCCUCCUCUCUCUCUCUCUCUCUCUCUCUCUCAACCUCUAUCUCCUUCCUCGACUCCUCUUUAGCGUGUGAAAAUGGAGUGGAAACAGUGGGGGUAGGGACCGCCUCGGCGUGUAGGACCAGAACUCCGAUGCCUGGAAGAAAUGCCCUCCCUGUCUGAGGUUAAUCACGAGGACUGACACUGGACUCCGAGUUUCUCUCUCGUCAUUAAAUUAACCUACAUUCGUCUUCUGCAGAUCUGCCAACCUCAUUUUCUACUCCAUCCCAGAAGCAGGAAACUGACCUUUUCUCCGAGAGACACCGCAGAUCGCCGCCAGAUCUCGCCGCCCCCUCCGCC